rnacentral:rRNA from 1 species
UACGUAGGGGGCAAGCGUUGUCCGGAUUUAUUGGGCGUAAAGAGCGUGUAGGCGGCUUGGUAGGUCCGCUGUGAAAACUCGAGGCUCAACCUCGAGAUGUCGGCGGAAACCACUUGGCUAGAGUCCGGAAGAGGAGAGUGGAAUUCCUGGUGUAGCGGUGAAAUGCGUAGAUAUCAGGAGGAACACCGAUGGCGAAGGCAGCUCUCUGGUCCUAUACUGACGCUGAGGUGCGAAAGCGUGGGGAGCGAACGGG